rnacentral:rRNA from 1 species
AAAAACAUAUCUAAUAGAAAUAAUUAUUAGUACAACCUGCUCAAUGAAUCUUCAAUAGCCGCAGUUUAUACUGUGCUAAGGUAGCAUAAUCAUUUGUCUUUUAAUUAAAGACUAGAAUGAAAGGUCACACAUUUAAUUACCUUUUUAAAACCUUAUUUUUAAAUUAUUCUAAAUGUAAAAAAACAUUUAUUCAAUAGAAAGACGACAAGACCCUAUUGAACUUAACUUCAGUUUAACUGGGGCAGUUAAAUAACAAAAUUUUAUUUAAAUUUUUUAAGUAAAUUGACCUAUUAUAAAUAAUUUAAUGAUCAAGUUACCAUAGGGAUAACAGCGUAAUAAUUUUCUUUAGAUCUUAUAUAAAAAAAUGAUUACGACCUCGAUGUUGAAUUAAUUUAACUAAUACACGCAAAAGUGUAUGUAGAAAGUCUGUUCGACUUUUAAAAAAUUACAUGAUCUGAG